GCCACAAUAGCUCAGUUGGUAGAGUAUCGCAUUCGUAACGCGACGGUCGCGAGUUCAAGUCUCGCUUGUGGCU
rnacentral:tRNA from 1 species